AAUGGGGUGCCAAUGAUGGCUGAGAUUGGAUCAAUAAAGAUCCUGACCCACUGAACCUGAUACGGGUAAUGCCGGCGAAGGGAUUUUAU
rnacentral:ncRNA from 1 species